rnacentral:rRNA from 1 species
GCUGGCGGCGUGCCUAAUACAUGCAAGUCGAGCGAAUGGAUUAAGAGCUUGCUCUUAUGAAGUUAGCGGCGGACGGGUGAGUAACACGUGGGUAACCUGCCCAUAAGACUGGGAUAACUCCGGGAAACCGGGGCUAAUACCGGAUAACAUUUUGAACUGCAUGGUUCGAAAUUGAAAGGCGGCUUCGGCUGUCACUUAUGGAUGGACCCGCGUCGCAUUAGCUAGUUGGUGAGGUAACGGCUCACCAAGGCAACGAUGCGUAGCCGACCUGAGAGGGUGAUCGGCCACACUGGGACUGAGACACGGCCCAGACUCCUACGGGAGGCAGCAGUAGGGAAUCUUCCGCAAUGGACGAAAGUCUGACGGAGCAACGCCGCGUGAGUGAUGAAGGCUUUCGGGUCGUAAAACUCUGUUGUUAGGGAAGAACAAGUGCUAGUUGAAUAAGCUGGCACCUUGACGGUACCUAACCAGAAAGCCACGGCUAACUACGUGCCAGCAGCCGCGGUAAUACGUAGGUGGCAAGCGUUAUCCGGAAUUAUUGGGCGUAAAGCGCGCGCAGGUGGUUUCUUAAGUCUGAUGUGAAAGCCCACGGCUCAACCGUGGAGGGUCAUUGGAAACUGGGAGACUUGAGUGCAGAAGAGGAAAGUGGAAUUCCAUGUGUAGCGGUGAAAUGCGUAGAGAUAUGGAGGAACACCAGUGGC